rnacentral:tRNA from 1 species
GUUCCUAUCGUCUAGUGGUUAGGACUCUGCCCUUUCACGGCAGCAACGUGGGUUCGAAUCCCAUUGGGAAUA